ensembl:lncRNA
AAAAAAAGCAAAGAAAAAGAGAGACGCAUGGUGGGACUGCAAAAGCGACUGGAAAGGAUCGGGAACCAGUAUGUCCAGUGCGCGGGCUCGCUAUAGGUGAGCCCACAACGGUUUGGCGCAACGUGGCCCACCCUGCUCUCCUGAAUCGGCAUCGGGACCUGUCCUGGAUGGUCGCCCACGAGAUCCUCCCGGUCAGGGCCGUUAUGCACUCACGGGGCAUGGCGAGGACAUCCGCGUGCCCCCGACCAGGCUGCGGCCAAGAAGAGUCGGUGAGGCACAUGCUCUGGGAGUGCAGAGCCGCCAGGGACCUGUGGAAGGAAGCAGGCCCCCUGAUCACCUCGUGUCUGCCAGCAGGGGAGGACCUAACACCUCAGCUCGUGCUGUAUGGGGUGGGCCGAAGGCCCAUUUCAUCGAAGACCUUCACCAAGCUCUGGCCCACCCUCACGUGCCUGAAGGAAGCACUGUGGUCCUCCCGUAACCUGCUGGUAGCGAAAAACGUAGAGAC